rnacentral:rRNA from 1 species
UACGUAGGGUGCAAGCGUUAAUCGGAAUUACUGGGCGUAAAGCGUGCGCAGGCGGUUGUGCAAGACAGAUGUGAAAUCCCCGGGCUCAACCUGGGAACUGCAUUUGUGACUGCACGGCUGGAGUGCGGCAGAGGGGGAUGGAAUUCCGCGUGUAGCAGUGAAAUGCGUAGAUAUGCGGAGGAACACCGAUGGCGAACGGCAAUCCCCUGGGC